ACGUAGGUGACAAGCGUUGUCCGGAUUUACUGGGUGUAAAGGGCGCGUAGGCGGACUGUCAAGUCAGUCGUGAAAUACCGGGGCUUAACCCCGGGGCUGCGAUUGAAACUGACAGCCUUGAGUAUCGGAGAGGAAAGUGGAAUUCCUAGUGUAGCGGUGAAAUGCGUAGAUAUUAGGAGGAACACCAGUGGCGAAGGCGGCUUUCUGGACGACAACUGACGCUGAGGCGCGAAAGUGUGGGGAGCAAACAG
rnacentral:rRNA from 1 species